UACGUAGGGGGCUAGCGUUGUCCGGAAUCAUUGGGCGUAAAGCGCGUGUAGGCGGUCCGGUAAGUCUGCUGUGAAAGUCGGGGGCUCAACCCUCGAAUGCCGGUGGAUACUGUCGGGCUAGAGUGCGGAAGAGGCGAGUGGAAUUCCUGGUGUAGCGGUGAAAUGCGUAGAUAUCGGAAGGAACACCUGUGGCGAAGGCGGGUCUCUGGACAGUUCCUGACACUGAGGCACGAAGGCCAGGGAGCAAACGGG
rnacentral:rRNA from 1 species